rnacentral:rRNA from 1 species
UACGUAGGGUGCAAGCGUUAUCCGGAAUUAUUGGGCGUAAAGAGCUCGUAGGCGGUUUGUCGCGUCUGCUGUGAAAACGCGAGGCUCAACCUCGCGCCUGCAGUGGGUACGGGCAGACUAGAGUGUGGUAGGGGAGAUUGGAAUUCCUGGUGUAGUGGUGGAAUGCGCAGAUAUCAGGAGGAACACCGAUGGCGAAGGCAGAUCUCUGGGCCAUUACUGACGCUGAGGAGCGAAAGCGUGGGGAGCGAACAGG